rnacentral:rRNA from 1 species
GACGAACGCUGGCGGCGUGCCUAAUACAUGCAAGUCGAACGAGAGCAACCGGUGCUUGCACUGGUCAAUCUAGUGGCGAACGGGUGAGUAACACGUGGGUAACCUGCCCAUCAGAGGGGGAUAACAUCCGGAAACGGAUGCUAAAACCGCAUAGGUCUUCGAACCGCAUGGUUUGAAGAGGAAAAGAGGCGCAAGCUUCUGCUGAUGGAUGGACCCGCGGUGCAUUAGCUAGUUGGUGAGGUAACGGCUCACCAAGGCCGUGAUGCAUAGCCGACCUGAGAGGGUGAUCGGCCACAUUGGGACUGAGACACGGCCCAAACUCCUACGGGAGGCAGCAGUAGGGAAUCCUCCGCAAUGGACGCAAGUCUGACGGAGCAACGCCGCGUGAGUGAAGAAGGUUUUCGGAUCGUAAAACUCUGUUGUUAGAGAAGAACAAGUGCUAGAGUAACUGUUAGCGCCUUGACGGUAUCUAACCAGAAAGCCACGGCUAACUACGUG